rnacentral:rRNA from 1 species
UACGGAGGGGGCGAGCGUUAUUCGGAAUUAUUGGGCGUAAAGGGCGCGUAGGCGGCCUUUCAAGUGACGGGUGAAAUCCCUCGGCUUAACCGAGGAACUGCCUGUCAGACUGGAAGGCUUGAGACCGGGAGAGGAUGGUGGAAUUCCCAGUGUAGAGGUGAAAUUCGUAGAGAUUGGGAAGAACACCGAGGGCGAAGGCAGCCAUCUGGACCGACACUGACGCUGAGGCGCGACAGCGUGGGGAGCAAACGAGG